UCUUAGCCAACCUCAUUCCUGGGUAGUCAACCGGACAGGACUGUUCAUCGUUUGGGUUUUUACGUUUUGACUUACUGUUUCGACUUGUUAAUCUAGAUUUUCGCACAAAAAAUUUCUUCUUCACAAAGGAAAACGUGCGUUUAAUUUUUUUUUAAUAUAAACAAAGAUGUCUUUCGCCGUCAAAGGAGACGCAGGUGUGACCAAUGUUGGAGGUGGGUUUGUCCAGACUCUCGUCGACAUCAACGAGAGUAAACCGUGCGUCAGCAUAAUCCAUGCUCUUCCGUUCUUCGUCAUGACGUUCCUUUUCAUUUGCAUGGGUGCCCUUUUCGGGCUUUACAGCUUCAAGACAAUCGUAUUCACCUUCUUUGUGGCAUAUAUCUCAAUGGCAGUUGUACAAAAGUUCAGAAAAGUGACGUGAAAAUAUGACAUUGACUUUAAGUUUAUUUUAAGUGAAAUAUUGUUAAGUAUAUAAGUUAAGUAAAAUAAAUUAUUGUUUAUACAUUUAACUGCA